rnacentral:lncRNA from 1 species
AUAUCACAGUGUCAUCCUUGUGGCAUGGUCCUUGUGAAAGAGCUCCAUCUCCUGUUUGCCCGGCCUAGCAAUAUGUCACUAUCAAGGGCACACCUGCAGAAACUGGUUGUUUUACCAAGGACUUGAUUGAAAGGGUUUGCUUCCCUUUAAGGAGUCAAGCUCAACUUGCAGAGCCAAUAAAAGCCCCUUGGAAAAACAGGACUCAUACCUCAUCUAUACAGUCAUAGUGCAGGUUUAUCUGUGGAAAGUAAAGAAUGACACUUUCUGACAGCCCCAGGGACUCCAACUUUAUCUUGGGACCAUAAGAGGAGAGAAUCACCCAACUCAUAAAUAGGUAAUCAGGUCUCAAUACUGUGGGACACUCUUCUUGGUGCAUCCUUUGAAUUUGAAAGAGUUAAUUUCCCAAACCUUAGACUGGUUUGCUUAGGAUUCAACUCAGGAGAAAAGAACCCAGAACCCAGAAAACUGACAUGCUCGAAAAGGGUUUUCAGGUGGUGCAUUGUCCAGAUUGCUUAGAAGCUCAUGAUCACAGAGGUCAUAUUUGACAAGAGAAAGCACUGUUGCACCAGGACUAAGUGAAGGUGAUUACCACCCCAUGCCUAAGGCUUCUCCAGAGCCAGGAUGGAGCUUAAAAACCAUUACUGAAGCCAGAAAGUGAUGACAGAAGUUGA